rnacentral:rRNA from 1 species
UUGAACGCUGGCGGCAGGCCUAACACAUGCCAGUCGAGCGGAUGAAGGGAGCUUGCUCCUGGAUUCAGCGGCGGACGGGUGAGUAAUGCCUAGGAAUCUGCCUGGUAGUGGGGGAUAACGUCCGGAAACGGGCGCUAAUACCGCAUACGUCCUGAGGGAGAAAGUGGGGGAUCUUCGGACCUCACGCUAUCAGAUGAGCCUAGGUCGGAUUAGCUAGUUGGUGGGGUAAAGGCCUACCAAGGCGACGACCCGUAACUGGUCUGAGAGGAUGAUCAGUCACACUGGAACUGAGACACGGUCCAGACUCCUACGGGAGGCAGCAGUGGGGAAUAUUGGACAAUGGGCGAAAGCCUGAUCCAGCCAUGCCGCGUGUGUGAAGAAGGUCUUCGGAUUGUAAAGCACUUUAAGUUGGGAGGAAGGGCAGUAAGUUAAUACCUUGCUGUUUUGACGUUACCAACAGAAUAAGCACCGGCUAACUUCGUG